UACGAAGGGGGCUAGUGUUGUUCGGAAUCACUGGGCGUAAAGCGCACGUAGGCGGCUUUUUAAGUCAGGGGUGAAAUCCUGGAGCUCAACUCCAGAACUGCCUUUGAUACUGAGAAGCUUGAGUCCGGGAGAGGUGAGUGGAACUGCGAGUGUAGAGGUGAAAUUCGUAGAUAUUCGCAAGAACACCAGUGGCGAAGGCGGCUCACUGGCCCGGUACUGACGCUGAGGUGCGAAAGCGUGGGGAGCAAACAGG
rnacentral:rRNA from 1 species